rnacentral:rRNA from 1 species
UUCGCAAUGCCCGAAAGGGUGACGAAGCGACGCCGCGUGCGGGAGGAAGGCCUUCGGGUUGUAAACCGCUGUCGGGAGUUAAGAAAUGCAAGGAUGUUAAUAGCGUUCUUGCUUGACUAAGGCUCCGGAGGAAGCCACGGCUAACUCUGUGCCAGCAGCCGCGGUAAUACAGAGGCGGCAAGCGUUGUUCGGAAUUAUUGGGCGUAAAGAGCACGUAGGCGGCCUUGCAAGUCAGUUGUGAAAGCCUUCCGCUUAACGGAAGAACGGCAUCUGAUACUACAGGGCUUGAGUACGGGAGGGGAGAGUGGAACUUCUGGUGGAGCGGUGAAAUGCGUAGAUAUCAGAAGGAACGCCGGCGGCGAAAGCGACUCUCUGGUCCAUAACUGACGCUGAGUGUGCGAAAGCUAGGGGAGCAAACGGGAUUAGAUACCCCGGUAGUCCUAGCCGUAAACGAUGGGCACUAAGUAGAGGGGUUUU